GGGGAUGUUUUUGGUUUCGACGGGGGUGUGGAAGCCGGAUAAGCGAGCCGUAGUCGCCAAGUCUACGUUAAAAGUGGCCGUUUAAAUAUAAACGCUAAAAAGAACAAUAAUUUCGCACCUAUGGCUAUGGCUGCGUAAGGCAGUCUGAAAGCUGUGCGUAUCGUCUCCGGUUUACCUGUAGGCCGGAUGUACGGUAUCAAGCAUACAGGAAAACUUCAUGUGAAAGCCCGGCAGCAUGAGGGAACAACGGGAUAGCUGAUGGAAAAGCCUGCUUCUGGGCGUUUUCAGAGGCGAAAUCUUAAAACAGAAGAUGCGCUCGGAGAAAGUCCGUCGGAAAUGCUUUCGGACACGGGUUCGAUUCCCGUCAUCUCCACCA
rnacentral:tmRNA from 1 species